rnacentral:lncRNA from 1 species
ACCUGCAUUAGUGAUUAGUCUUCUAUUUAACAAUUGAAUUAGACUUUUUGUGUAUGAUAGCAAUCUGUAACAACUCAAAUCUUCUAACAGAUGGAAAUCUACACUUAGUUGUUUAAAUAUUUUUUAAUCAUUAAAAUUAGUAUUUUGUCAACUAAAUAUAGGGAUGGGCAAAGAACUGUUUUAAACAGUUAAAAUAACAGAAGUGAACUGAAAUUGUUUGGUUCAGAUUGGACAUGAGGGCUCUUUUUAAAACUGAAUUGUUUUUGUAUGUUUUCAGACUGGUUUAUUGUUUUAUAAGUAAUCAUUAAUUUAGUAGACAAUCUUACCUUAAGCGAAGAUUACAUAGCUAAAUUAGUUACCAAAAGUAGGUUCUGUUCAGCGCUGUUCCAAAUCCUUAUUUGGUUGGAGUUUAUUUUAGGUCUUGAAUUCAAUUGGCUUGGUUGUUUCAGUGUGGAUUCUAAAACGAACCAAACUAAACUAUGCCCAUCCCUUUGAAAGAUAUAAAGUUAGAAGCCAACACCUAGCUUCUCGCUUCUAGCUCCUAGUUUUUAUGCCUAGUGCCAUAAGUUGGUGCCAAAAAGUCCCCCCAAGUCGCCCAUUAAACAUUCUCAAAGUGAACUGCCCUCCCAUAUUCAAAUUUGGCCUUGGAACUAGGGAUCCAUAAAGAAUUAGCUGAUAAUUGAUCUCGGAGACUAAAGAUUACAAGCUUUCCAACAUGUGAGAAUUGCUCAAAUUGGAGGUCACACAGCGAAGUUAUGCCUGUUCUGAGGUGACCAUCUUUAUCAUCUAACUAUCAGGCAAAUCAGUUGCCUGAUUGUAGGACUCCUUGCCUGACUAUUGGGCGAGUUGCCUAAUAGGAGUGUUAUCAACUAUUUGUUUUCAUCCUGUCAUCUUUGUACCCACCUUAGCCACAUACAUAUCUUAAAUAUCCUUUGCUGCGGCCAUCUGGUUUUAGAAUCCAAUGAGGAGAAAUCUGCAGCAUUUAUUUUCCAGUAAAAUGCAGCACUUUUGCUGUUGUAUUUCAUAAGCACAUUGAUUCAUAUACUAGCGUUAACCUUUCUCUAAUACAUCACCCUGGAAGUAUCCGUGUUUGUGGAAAUUGUGAUUUAAUUUGAUGUUUGGAGCUUUUCCAUUUACUGCUGCAUUACCCGCAAGGGCUUCUAUGGAUAUAGUUCGAAAUUAGCAUUGCAUUUGGUGCAACUCAAUGAAAAUCCCUCAUCGUCCUGUUUACCUAUUGAAUACCUCAUUUCCCAUGAUUGGUAUUCUGUUUUCACCAGGUAAGGCCUCUCAGAUACGAAGAUUUUCAAAAGGCAAUGACUGUGAUUAGACCAAGUUUACACAGAAGCAAGUGGGAGGAACUUGAGCAGUGGAACAAAGAGUUUGGCUCCAGUUAAAGGGUUCAUCUCAGUUCCUCGACGAAUUCCUGUCGAGGCUUGUUGAGAAGCCGUCGCCAAAUGCAGAGCUUGACUGAAUUGUAUGCAGAUAUGUAGACUGUGUGGCGAUGGAUUAAGUUGUAUAUAAAUUUCAAUUCAGUGUAAUUCAUUUGUUGUAUCGUGCUCUUCGGUUGAGCCAGUUCGCAUUGUGUAUAUUAUUCCGAUUACUUCGUGUCGAAUUAUGGAUGAGAUGCACACGCUAUUAAUCGCACCACUUGAUUUCUCUGCUUUUUCUUUUAUAGUUUCUAAUGAGGGCUUCUAAUUUUGUUGGGGGAGAAUGACAGCUCAUUCAUCGCUUCUGAAAAUCGCACGUUACGUUCAAAGGG